CAGCCGCCACGGUAAUACGAAGGGUGCAAGCGUUAAUCGGAAUUACUGGGCGUAAAGCGUGCGUAGGUGGUGGUUUAAGUCCGUUGUGAAAGCCCUGGGCUCAACCUGGGAAUUGCAGUGGAUACUGGAUCACUAGAGUGUGGUAGAGGAUAGUGGAAUUUCCGGUGUAGCAGUGAAAUGCGUAGAGAUCGGAAGGAACAUCUGUGGCGAAGGCGACUAUCUGGGCCAACACUGACACUGAGGCACGAAAGCGUGGGGAGCAAACAGGAUUAGAUACCCGGGUAGUCCCUGUCUCUUAUAC
rnacentral:rRNA from 1 species